rnacentral:rRNA from 1 species
GUGAGGAAUUUUCCGCAAUGGGCGAAAGCCUGACGGAGCAAUGCCGCGUGAAGGAUGAAGGCCUAUGGGUUGUAAACUUCUUUUCUUAGAGAAGAAUAUUGACGGUAUCUGAGGAAUAAGCACCGGCUAACUCCGUGCCAGCAGCCGCGGUAAGACGGAGGGUGCAAGCGUUGUUCGGAAUUACUGGGCGUAAAGUGUAUGUAGGCGGCAAGUUAAGUUCAAUGUUAAAGCCCACGGCUCAACCGAGGAGAUGCAUUGAAUACUGGCUAGGUAGGGGGUGUUAGAGGAAGAGGGAAUGCCCGGUGUAGCGGUGAAAUGCGUAGAUAUUGGGAGGAGCAGCGGUAGCGAGAGCGGUCUUCUGCGACAUACCUGACGUGGAGGUACGAAAGCGUGGGGAGCAAACGGGAUUAGAAACCCCUGUAGUCC